AUUGAACGCUGGCGGCAGGCCUAACACAUGCAAGUCGAACGAGUGGCGGACGGGUGAGUAAUGUCUGGGAAACUGCCUGAUGGAGGGGGAUAACUACUGGAAACGUUAGCUAAUACCGCAUACCAUCAGAUGUGCCCAUAGGGGAUUAGCUAGUUGGUGGGGUAACGGCUCACCAAGGCGACGACCCCUAGCUGGUCUGAGAGGAUGACCAGCCACACUGGAACUGAGACACGGUACGGACUCGUACGGGAGGCAGCAGUGGGGAAUAUUGCAAAAUGGGCGAAAGCCUGAUGCAGCAAUGCCGCGUGUAUGAAGAAGGACUUCGGGUUGUAAAGUACUUUCAGCGGGGAGGCGUUACCCGAAGAAGAAGCACCGGCUAACUCCGUGCCAGCAGCCGCGGUAAUAC
rnacentral:rRNA from 1 species